UACGUAGGGCGCAAGCGUUGUCCGGAAUCAUUGGGCGUAAAGAGCUCGUAGGCGGCCUGUUGCGUCCGCUGUGAAAUCCCGGGGCUUAACCCCGGGCGUGCAGUGGAUACGGGCUGGCUGGAGGCAGGCAGGGGAGAACGGAAUUCCCGGUGUAGCGGUGGAAUGCGUAGAGAUCCGGAAGAACACCAGUGGCGAAGGCGGCCCGCUGGGCAGUGGCUGACGCUGAGGCGCGACAGCGUGGGGAGCAAACAGG
rnacentral:rRNA from 1 species